GACGAACGCUAGCGGCGUGCUUAACACAUGCAAGUCGAACGGAAAGGCCCUGCUUUUGUGGGGUGCUCGAGUGGCGAACGGGUGAGUAACACGUGAGUAACCUGCCCUUGACUUUGGGAUAACUUCAGGAAACUGGGGCUAAUACCGGAUAGGAGCUCCUGCUGCGUGGUGGGGGUUGGAAAGUUUCGGCGGUUGGGGAUGGACUCGCGGCUUAUCAGCUUGUUGGUGGGGUAGUGGCUUACCAAGGCUUUGACGGGUAGCCGGCCUGAGAGGGUGACCGGCCACAUUGGGACUGAGAUACGGCGCAGACUCCUACGGGAGGCAGCAGUGGGGAAUAUUGCACAAUGGGCGGAAGCCUGAUGCAGCAACGCCGCGUGCGGGAUGACGGCCUUCGGGUUGUAAACCGCUUUCGCCUGUGACGAAGCGUGAGUGACGGUAAUGGGUAAAGAAGCACCGGCUAACUACGUG
rnacentral:rRNA from 1 species